UCAUUGGUCAUAACAGACUAUUGGCCCUGAUCAUUGGUCAUAACAGACUAUUGGCCCUGAUCAUUGGUCAUAACAGACUAUUGGCCCUGAUCAACUUAUUUGAGAGUAGAAUAAUUGAAUGAUUGAUUGAUUGAUUGUAAUAAUCUUUUUAACUCUUCAUUAGAACCUCACAUAUUGAGUUAAUUUAUUUGUGUAUAAAAUCAACAAUUCAAUGGACUUUCAAACCUUUUAAGUGUGAUUUUAAUUCAUUGUAAAGAGAUGCAAAUGUAUUGAACAGGCUACAGACAAAACGAAUAGCAUAUGACUAUAUUUGGAAAACCACAUCUCGUACAGUAUAAACUACGUCUAUAUUCAAAAUAUCCCAGAUGUAGGUUUAAACACAGGAUAUACAGGUUUCUGCCAAAAUAGGGGAAACUCCAACAUAAAGUGUCUUAAUGAGACGUUGGGCCGCCGCCAGAACAGAUGCAUCUUGGGUAGUGCCUUCAGAAAGUAUUCAGAUCCCCUUGACCUUCUCCACAUUUUGUUACGUUACAGCCUUAUUCUUAAAUUCUAUUUUUUCCUCAUCAAUCAUACACACAAUACCCCAUAAUGACAAAGCAAAAAGAGGUUUUUAGAAAUGUUUGCAAAUGUAUUACAAUUUAUUUAUUUUUUAAACUGAAAUAUCACAUUUACAUAGGCAUUCGGACCAUUUACUCAGUACUUUGUUGAAGCACGUUCGACAGCGAUUACAGCCUGGAGUCUUCUUGGGUAUGACGCUACAAGCUUGGCACACCUGUAUUUAAGGAGUUUCUCCCCUUCUUCUCAGCAGAUCCUCUCAAGCUGUGGCAGUUUGGAUGGGGGGUGUUGCUGCACAGCUAUUUUCAGAAAAUUAACAUGUGAAAAGAUUCUGGGGAUGAACGUGGACAUCUUCAAUAUGUACCCAUUGUUUUUUAUAUAUACAGUUGAAGCAGGAGGUUUACAAACACUUAAGUUGGAGUCAUUAAAACUUGUUUUUAAAGGCAAGAAGGGCCUUCUAUGCCAUCAAAAGGAACAUACAAUUUGACAUACCAAUUAGGAUCUGGCUAAAAUGACUCCGCUCACCAACCAAGACUUCACAAAAUGGGACAAACACCAAAUUGAGACUCUGCAUGCAAAAUUCUGCAAAAAUAUCCCCCGUGUACAAUGUGAAACACCAAAUAAUGCAUGCAGAGCAGAAUUAGGCCGAUACCAACUAAUUAUCAAAAUACAGAAAAGAGCAUUUCAAAUCUACAACCACCUAAAAAGAAGCGAUUCCCAAACCUUCUGUAACAAAGCCAUCACCUACAGAGAGAUGAACCUGGAGAAGAGUCCACUAAGCAAGCUGGUCCUGGGGCUCUGUUCACAAACACAAACACACCCUACAGAGCCCCAGGACAGCAACACAAUUAGACCCAACCAAAUCAUGAGAAAACAAAAAGAUAAUUACUUUGACACAUUAGAAAGAAUUAACAAAAAAACAGCAAUAGAAUGCUAUUUGGCCCUAAACAGAGAGUAUAUAGUGGCAGAAUACCUGACCACUGUGACUGACCCAAACUUAAGGAAAGCUUUGACUAUGUACAGACUCAGUGAGCAUAGCCUUGCUAUUGAGAGAAGAGCGGCUAUGAAUGAGGUGGAAACUGCCACAAGAAAAGGGCAACCAGUGAAGCAGAAUCACCAUACAACCCAUAUUUAUGUUUAUUUAUUUUCCCUUUUAUACUAUUUGCGCAUAGUUACAACACUGUAUAUAGACAUAAUAGGAUCUUUGAAAUGUCUUUUAUUCUUUUGGAACUUUUUGAGUGUAAAGUUAAACUGUUUAUUUUGUAUUGUUUAUUUCACUUUUGUUUAUUACCUAUUUCACUUGCUUUGGCAAUGUAAACAUAUGUUUUCCAUGCCAAUAAAACCCCUUGGAUUGAAAUGAAUUGAGAGACAGAGCGAGGAAACAUUACCACACCACUGGAGAGACACCGAGCACUGGUAAUGAACGGUAACGGCUACUAACCGGGUUGAUCCACAUCAAUGGAACAGUAGUGGAGAGGGUAGCAAGUUUUAAGUUCCUCGGCAUACACAUCACAGACAAACUGAAUUGGUCCACUCACACAGACAGCAUCGUGAGGAAGGCGCAGCAGCGCCUCUUCAACCUCAGGAGGCUGAAGAAAUUCGGCUUGUCACCAAAAGCACUCACAAACUUCUACAGAUGCACAAUCGAGAGCAUCCUGGCGGGCUGUAUCACCACCUGGUAUGGCAACUGCACCGCCCUCAACCGUAAGGCUCUCCAGAGGGUAGUGAGGUCUGCACAACGCAUCACCAGGGGCAAACUACCUGCCCUCCAGGACACCUACACCACCCGAUGUUACAGGAAGGCCAUAAAGAUCAUCAAGGACAUCAACCACCCGAGCCACUGCCUGUUCACCCCGCUGUCAUCCAGAAGGCGAGAUGAUUCCUUCACAAACAAAGCGCCUGUGGACACCAGGCACGAGAGCGUGAGCGAGGCAGGAAUCAAUAGCCGAAAGUGUUUACCUCGUCUGUGAGACACGGUGGACACGCGCAGAGGCGAGGGAAGGAAGG
ensembl:lncRNA